rnacentral:sRNA from 12 species
GGUGUGGUCGGUUUCCGGCAAAGUUUCAUUUGCCGGACCCUGUGGCAGGGGCGCGCCAUCAAUCACAACGAUGCCUGCGGGCAUGAACGGAGA